rnacentral:rRNA from 1 species
UACGUAGGGUGCAAGCGUUGUCCGGAAUUAUUGGGCGUAAAGAGCUCGUAGGCGGUUUGUCGCGUCGAAUGUGAAAACCCGGGGCUCAACCCCGGGCCUGCAUUCGAUACGGGCAGACUAGAGUUCGGUAGGGGAGUCUGGAAUUCCGGGUGUAGCGGUGGAAUGCGUAGAGAUCCGGAAGAACACCAGUGGCGAAGGCGGCCCGCUGGGCAGUGGCUGACGCUGAGGCGCGACAGCGUGGGGAGCAAACAGG